CGCCGCCGGCAGCUCUAUUGCCGCACCGGCUUCCACCUGCAGAUCCUGCCCGACGGCAGCGUGCAGGGCACCCGGCAGGACCACAGCCUCUUCGGAGAAACUUACUUCCGAAUGCAUCUUUAGGGAGCAGUUUGAAGAGAACUGGUAUAACACCUAUUCAUCUAACAUAUAUAAACAUGGAGACACUGGCCGCAGGUAUUUUGUGGCACUUAACAAAGACGGAACUCCAAGAGAUGGCGCCAGGUCCAAGAGGCAUCAGAAAUUUACACAUUUCUUACCUAGACCAGUGGAUCCAGAAAGAGUUCCAGAAUUGUACAAGGACCUACUGAUGUACACUUGAAGUGCGAUAGUGACAUUAUGGAAGAGUCAAACCACAACCAUUCUUUCUUGUCAUAGUUCCCAUCAUAAAAUAAUGACCCAAGGAGACGUUCAAA
rnacentral:lncRNA from 1 species